rnacentral:rRNA from 1 species
CUACGGGUCGCUCCAGUAAGGAAUAUUGCGCAAUGGAGGCAACUCUGACGCAGCCAUGCCGCGUGCAGGAAGAAGGCCUCAUGGGUCGUAAACUGCUUUUAUUUAGGAAUAAACCCCCGAACGUGUUCGGGGCUGAAGGUACUAAACGAAUAAGCACCGGCUAACUCCGUGCCAGCAGCCGCGGUAAUACGGAGGGUGCAAGCGUUAUCCGGAUUUAUUGGGUUUAAAGGGUGCGCAGGCGGGCUGUUAAGUCAGUGGUGAAAUCCCGGGGCUCAACUCCGGAACUGCCAUUGAUACUGAUAGUCUUGAGUUUGGUUGAAGUGGGCGGAAUGUAGCAUGUAGCGGUGAAAUGCAUAGAUAUGCUACAGAACACCAAUCGCGAAGGCAGCUCACUAAGCCAAAACUGACGCUCAUGCACGAAAGCGUGGGGAUCAAACAGGAUUAGAUACCCUCGUAGUC